GGGUGACGAGUGUGUGUGUGUUUCAGUUUUCCUACUUUCACCCUGUGCAUAAGUAAAAUCGAGGUUAACGGAAAGCAGCCAGGCAGUCACUCAGUCAGCCACCAAGUCAAUCAGUCAGUCAGUCAGUCACCACAUCUGUUAGUCACAGUCAGUCAGUCGGAAAAUCCGCCAUUCAGUCAUUCAUUUAGUCAACUAGUCAACCAUUCACAUGGCCAGUCAGCCUGUCCGGCAGUCAGCCAGUCAACCACUCAUUCAUACGUAAGAACAUAAGAACGUAAGGAGUCUGUAAGAGGCCGGUUGGCCUAUACAAGGCAGGUCCUGUAAUCCUAACCCCACCUUACCUCACCAUCCAUGACUUUAUCUAACCUCUUCUUGAAUGUAUCUUUGGUAUUGGCACCAAAAACAUGGCCGCCAAGACUGUUCCAUUCAUCCACCACUCAAAUGGUAAACCAAUUCUUGCCUAUGUCUUUGUUGAAUCUGAAUUUAUUCAACCCAAAACCAUUGCUACGUGUCCUACUUGGUUCUUUUACAACCAAAACCCUACUGACGUCCCCUUUAUUGAAGCCCGUCAUCCAUUUAUAGACUUCGAUCAGGUCUCCCCGCAACCUUCGCCUUUGUAGAAAGUGAAGAUUUAAAUGCUUCAGUCUGUCCUCAUAAGGCAAGUUUCUCACCCCCUGAAUCAUCUUUGUCAUCCUCCUUUGUACAGAUUCUAACAUAUUGAUAUCCAUUCUGUAGAAGGAUAACCAGAACCGAACCACAUAAUCAAUAUGAGGUCUAACUAGUGCUAAGUGAAGUUUGAGGAUGACUUCAGCGCUUCUAUAGCUUACGCUCCUUGAGAUGAAACCCAGUACCCUGUUUGCACGAUUUUUAGCCUGAAUGCAUUGAGCCUAGGACGUAGGUCAGCGCUCACUAAGACUCCUAAUCCAUCUACCACUUCCCCGUCCAAUCAUAUAGUCUGUCAAGUUCAUCCUGGAGAACGCUAGCGUCCAGGUCUGAUUGGAUUACUCUACCGAUCUUAUCAUCAUCUACGAGCUUACUGACACCACUACUAAUUCCUGUGUCGAAAUCAUUGAUGUAAAUAAUAAAAAGCAGUGGACCCAGCACCGACCCCUGCGGGGCUCCACUCGUAACACUGCCCCAUUCAGAUUUUUUACCACUAAUUUGCACACUCUACUUUCUACCACUAAGCCAAGCCCUAAUCCAGAUCAAGACUUUCCCAUCUACGCCGUGAACCUGUAAUUUUAGUAAUAGCCGGUGAUGAGGAACUUUGUCGAACGCUGUACUUAAAUCUAGAUAGAGUAUGUCAUAGUUUUCAUCUCUGCCAACCGCCUCGAUUACUUUAGUGUAGAAGGACAACAGUUUAGUAAGGCAAGCCCUACCCUUCGCGAACAAAUGCUGUGAGUCAUGAAUUAAAUUUUCCUUCUCUAGAUGGUCCCGAAUGCUCCCGGCUAUAAUUGACUCCAACAUCUUUGUCAUGAACUCCUCAUUCCAGUGGAAGAUUCCAUUAUUCUUACUCUCCAACGGGUCACCUGCACAGCAAGAGCGAGAGUGGGCGGAGCUUAUUCAAAUAAUAUUAUCGCCUAUUGGUGCCAAUGCUGAAAUAUUCGUGGGAUGCAUGACGCACUAUUACUUAGUGCAUGGUGUUAGGUUAACACCAGUUAGGUUAAUUUAAGUGUUAUCCAGAGCGAGAGAUGUCAGUUGUGGCGAGUGCUGGCAUCUUGGCCGCCGGGCAAGCCAGGGCGAGCGGGGUCGCGACCCAGCCGCAGCCUACUUCUCUGAGUGACCCAGCCGUGACCGGAGGUGCUUCCCUCUAUUUCCAGGACCACGUGUUUACAUCGUGGUGGUCUUCCUACCACCUGCAGGCAUCCACAAGUCAGGCGACUGUGUGCUUCAGGUCAGGACGGCCCAGGGAGGUUACGAGAGGCGGCGUGUGGCUGGAUCCAGGACUACAUCGUGGGCGGUGAGGACCACGUGGCACCAGCGGGCGGCCUCCGGCGCGCCCAUCUACUGGAGCUAAGUAUAGUGUUCGUGCCUAUGGUAUUUUAAGACAGUUAGCUAGGUAGCUGUGUGCCUGGAUUAAUUAAUUAUUCCUCAUUUCCAGGGAGGCGGUGGCUGAAUGGAUAGCGUGACGGCCCCGCAUUCUGGACGACGCGAGUUCAAUUCCCGACCGGUGCCACUAAGCUGGGAUUUUUCAGCCGCCGCCGAGUGGCUUAAAACUACCCACAUGCUGUCCAGAAGACCACUUAUCAACCCGGACUCUAGAUUCUAGGAUUAAAGAUGAGCUCCGGGAGGGCAGCAUGAGCCAAUGUAAGAUGGUGCCACUAUAAACACUCGCCUGCGCCAGAACGGGCUGGGCCGACCAUCAGGCCCCACCGGGAAGAAGCUCAUAGAUCGACUAUAAUGAACAUAAGCUUUUCAUGUCGAGAGGGUACUUGCUGGCGAUCGCAAGUCCAACUCGUGAUCAGGCCGUGGUGAACCACACAUAUACGGUAGACACAUCAUUACGCGUGAAGGAAGAAAUAAAGAAAGGUGAAAAAUAUGUCUUUCGAUAAUUUUCCUAUACCCACAUACAUACCACACAUCUCGAUCCUAUCUCAAAGCUUCAUGUACUAUUUGGUUUGGAUCUGCUGUUCAGAUUUUGAGAACAGUGCCUCUGCGGGCUUUUUUACUUUUCUUUAUCUUUGCCUCCUUUGCUGCAAAACAGGGGAUGGAUGCAUUUGUUUAGUUAUCACCGGGAAAAGUUGGAUUUCUUUAGGCACUGAAGAACACAAAGUUCCUUAUUAUUAUUAUUAUUAUUAUUAUUAUUAUUAUUAUUAUUAUUAUUAUUAUUAUUAUUAUUAUUAUUAUUAUUAUUAUUAUUAUUAUUAUUAUUAUUAUUAUUAUUAUUAUUAUUAUUAUUAGAAAAAAAAUAGCAAGGUCAGAGGUCAAGCGUUCUGUAACGGGCAGCCUCAAGUUGUGUGAUCCUUUCCGUGAGUCAGUUUACUGAGCAAAAGUGGAGUAAUGCAGAGUAGAGUCAUCGGCAUGAGAAUAAAUAAGUCAAGGUAAAGUUGGUGGCAUAAGCUUAGCGGCGCCUUGCCAUGGUGCUCCUUUUUGUCUCGCUGACCCAUGAGCCAGUGGUGGAAAAAACUGCUUUCCCCGAGACACAAGCCACUUGUCACAUCCAUUUCAGGUCACUCUGUCUUCCACAGGCUUCCCCAGGUACCCAUUUACUGACCAGCCCGAAAGGAGAGAACAACUGGGUGAGCCGGUCGCCGAGUGCUGCGGGUCGCAUAUACCCGAAGUCUCUUAUGGUUCGGCAUAAGGAGAAUUUGGACCAAUCAGCGCGCGCGCGCACACACACACACACACACACACACACUCUAACCGCUUAAUCCAUAUCCAUACAGUGAUAAUACCGUCACCUCUGAUAACACCGCACAGUGAUAGUAACAUCGUCUGUACAUUAAGGUGUUCCUAAUAUGUAGAAGCAAAGGAAAAGGAGAAGAAAGAAAGCCUCUCCAUUUCCAAUUCUGGAUCUUAAAAACAGUCAGUAUAGUGUUAAAUCUUAAAAAUGGUAAGGAUAAAAGUAAAAUAAAAGUCACGUGCACAGUGGCAUAGUUACCAUCAAUUCUGGCCUGGCCAGACCCACCCAGCACCCCGCGCUUAACGCGCGCGCUGAUCGGUCCUAAUUUCUCCUUAUGCUGAACCCUAAAAGACUUCGGGAAUACGCCACCGGGGAAGGCCAGCCAGCCCGCAGGCCAGUGGGUGUGAGCCGUCUUGUGACGGGUCACGAAAACUUUCUGCUGCCUUAAGAUGCAAGGCCCCUUCUGUACCUUGGUGGUGCCCCGUCCCUCCCGCCUCCCUCCUGUGCAUAAUACCUAACAAUAUGACACUCACUUUCUCCCUCGGCCCGCCUCCUGGCGUCCCCGAAGUAUAUAAGCCGAGGCUGGCAGGCUGACACACUGGAGCCUCUCGAAGCUGCUGAUCUGAUAAUUAAGAGGCAUCAUGGGUUGUCUGGCACAAAUUUUCUUUGCUGGCCUGUUGGUGGCUGCCGUGAGCACCGCCCCAACGGAGCUGGAGGCGCCCCACCCUCUGCCAGGCACUGGCAACCACGCCAGAAGCUCUUUCAGACACCGCUUCUCGGACCAUCAGGAGACUCCAACAAGGAAACACCAUGGAUUCCAGGCCCCGGGAGAAGAUCACGAGACUGAGAGCGAUAACAAGCCUGAACACUCCUUCUCAGUCCAUGAUGCCGAGCCCAAACACGGCGAUGAAGAGGCCCACACCACCAACAACGAGGAAGAAGUCACCGACGAGCCUGAAGAUGUCCAAGUCACCGACCCCCCUUCACCUACCGGCCCGACCUUCCGACGCCUCCUUAAACCUAUGAGAAGGUUAUAAUCUCUUAUAAGAAAUUACAA